UCACAGGCUUCUCUUGAAGCCAACUUUACUCCAUUAAGGGAGGUCU
rfam:Drosophila mojavensis strain TSC#15081-1352.22 Ctg01_8321, whole genome shotgun sequence.